rnacentral:lncRNA from 1 species
UGAAUUAAAUUUUUGAAGAAAAAUCGUACGAUAAUAAAAAGAACCAAGAUAUUAAACAAUCUUAAUUGUAUGAAAAUAAACUAAGAUCAAAAGCGUAAUACUUAUUUGGCAAAAAUCACACCGCGCUGAACGUUUUAAAAAUAUAUAUCAUAUUUAUUUUUAGGAAAAUCAAUUUCACGUCAAUAAUGAUUAAAAAAUGUGACUGAUGAUUUCCAGUUUUCGCACAAUAAUAUAUCGUCAAUCGGCUGGUUAUCUGACCAUCAUAAAGAUGCUACUACUUAUCUACAACAGCCUGGGGAGGCAAUCAAUGCCGCUUUGGAUAGGAACUGUUUGACCCCAGUUCCCUAUUACAGAACGAGAAGCAGCUUUAGGUGUAUUACCUAGUAUGUAAUAUGUAAUAAAGAGAUUAUUUAAGUUCUCAACUUUGCCUAUUUUAGACUUACUUUUAACAAUCAAAGACCUGACUAACGUUACUGGGCAUAUGUAUAUGUCGUUAUGUUUGAAAGUUUCCAUACCGAUUGUCUAUAUGAGUGAGAAUCAUUUUUUUAGCCAAAUUCCGGUAUUAAGUAUAUAUAUUCCCCAGUAUCACAAAAAUUAUCUUUUGCAAUUUUUAGCAAAGUAAAGUCGUGAACUCUACGACCCGAUGCUAGCAACAAAACCGUAGUUGAAAUUGAAAUUGAAAUUUUAUUUAUCCUCUCCACACCAUAAUAUGUACAACAAUAUAACUGUGUUAGGUUACAAUUUCAUUAUGUGAUAAUGUGGGGACCGGUGCUCGCACCGGGUACAAAACCUGUGUUGCAAGACACCACGCUGAUGUAGCCGUUCUCCUAGACAUUUCAAAAAGGGUAUCUUUAGGUGGAUUUGUGAUGAAAGUCAUCUGAGCACAACCUCGGGAUCCCAUAUGGAAAUUGACUUAGCGACUUUAGGUUUAGCUUUACUAAUAGCCUUAAGGGCAAGUUUUAUUAUGAAAAUUAAGACAGCGGAUUUAUGUACUAAGAUUCUGCUAUAAGACAGUUUCUCAUUUAAAAAAUUAAUAUAUCAAAAAUUUUGUUAACUCUGCAGGUUGGGGAGAUUUAGGGUUUACUUGGGAGGUUUCGCACCAGUUUAACCAUUUUCUGAUGGCUGGUAAGUAGGUUGACAAGGUUGAUUGUCUUUAACUUUUUUCUUUCCUGAGUAGACCAUUCUUUUAUUUGGGCACCCCACCCCUAAUUGUCCAGACUUUCGGGGUCAAUGUGUGCACCUGAGGUGGACACUUUGACGUGGCAUCUAUCAAGGUCUUUGGUAGGCUUUGUAGUUCGUGUGGGUGAUCCAAUGCUCUAGCUUUCAGAUUCUGCAGUCAAAAAGCACGCGGCCACUCGGGUGCCACUAUUAGCGACGUUCCUGUCACAUUGUUUAGAUGUGAAACACUCGUGCUAGUUGAUGUCUCCACGGUCUGCUGAAGGCAUCUAUGUAGUAUGUCUAUGAUCUCUGCAGUCUAUCGAGACGUAAUUUGAUACCACAGCAAUGUUGUGUAGCAAACAAUUCUAUCUCGGGUCGUCCCCAUUUCAUGAAGAUUUCCUUUGUUGCUUGAGGAAGUAGAUGGCACUCGCCGGGCGGUUUUUCGCGAGACAGUCUGUCUGCGAUAAUGUUGUAGCGGAAUGGAAGGUAAUAAGCUGAUAACGUGAUCUGAAACUUGUUUGUCAUGUGUAAGAGAUCGAACUUUAGAUUCAACAGUCCAGUAACUUUGAUCCACCCUCCUUCCGAACCUACGCUUCAAAUGUUCGGUUGUCUGAAUGAACAUGGGGAUUUUGUAGAACCUUUGUGUUCCUUCUGAUAGCCGUUAUAACUGCAUACAGCUUCUUUUUGUGGAGCUCAUCAACAUCGUUUUUAGCUGAGCUGACCAAAUUCCUGACAGUAGUUUUGAUUGAGCACCCCAACCUGAAUCUGAGACAUCCGUUGCCAGGAAGUGGGAUGCAGGUUGUAGAUGUACUGGCCACUUGAGUCAUGUGGCUCCGAGCCACUAUUUUAUCUCCUGUUCCACUACUUGUGAAAUCAGUUGUUUUAGACGGGGCAUUUCCUGUCGAAACUUCUGAGGAAUCUUUAAAUAUUGCGACCGUCUAGUCUGCGUCUGAGAAUCACAAAAUCGGCAAAGUUUAAUUGGCCCACCAACCGUUGUAAUUCGCGAAGGGUGAUGCGACCUUUCAACGUCGAAUUUCUCAGGGCUUUGUUGAGAAUGUUUCUACUGUGGGCAACGAUAUUGAAUUUUUUGGAGGUCUGUCAAUGAAUACCAAGGUAAUCCAGAUCUUGGGUAGGUAUUAAGAUUAAUUUUUGGUAAUUGAAGAGCCAGCCCAGAUGUUCCAAGUGCCUCACGGCUUCCGCAGCCUGAAGACAUAACUUGGAUUGGUCAUAAUUGACCAGAAGGGAGUCGUCUAGGUAUGCCAGAACCCGACAGCCCUUCGCACGUAGGGUUUCCGCAACCCAACAUGUUACAGAUGAGAAAAGAUGAGGUGCUGGCGCCAGACCGAAAGGUAGACAUGUCAACUGGUACAAUUGCCUUUUGUAGCUGAUUCUCAGGAACGGUCGAUGUGAUUAUGCAGCCGGUAUGUAGAAAUAGACCUGAGAAAUGUCCUGCUUUAUCAUCCAGUCUCCAGGUUGUAUAAAACUGGGAACUGAAGCAUGAGAGAUCAGACGGAAAUGUUUCGUUUUUACAAAUUUGUUUAGUUCUCGGAGGUCGAAAAUCGGACGCCACCUUUUUUGUUCCGGAGAAAAAGCUUUGAGAUAAAAGCUGAGUAUCUUCCUGUUAACUACUUCCAGUAUAUGUUGGUCUAAUAAUUUUUGUAUCACUUUCGUCAUGGCCGGUGACGCCUUGGUUGCAUAUUGACGCAUUAUUGUUUCUGAGGGCAUUAAAAGAAGAGGUUUCUUGUAUAAGGGUAUUCGAAAGCCCGUUAUUUUUACUUUGUGACUGUACCCAUAAAUGUAUGUUCUUUGUAUUUUCUCUUCAGCUGUUCUCUAUUGUUAGAAGAUUGCGGAGGUGAUAGCCAGAAAUGUGGGCCACCAAGAGAAUAAACGCAUACCAAUUUUGUUUUAUCAAAUGAGAACACUCCACUAGGGGUAUAUUGCAAAGGGCCGCUUGGAUAAUUUUAUCCAGAAUUUAUUAUCAUAACUAUUGCACCUUGAUUCUAUACAUUCGGCUCUUUUAUCGCAAACAAUUAUAUGUAAACUUUGUUCGGAUAACUUGUAAGACAAAGACGAUUUUCCAUAAGUUUUAGUAAAUUUAUUAAAGGAUUUAUGUUAGCCCAACCGAUGAUUUCUUGUAAACCCGAUUGCAAUAGCUCUCUUUGAUAUAGCAGAGCGUUAGUAGUGGUGUAGCUAACAUAUCUGAUAACGUUUUCGUAUAUCCUAUAUGUUGCCAUGUAGGUGAAUAAAAAAGUUGCAAUUCGAUUAAACGACGUAAGCGUUUUACCUGGCUGUAGAAAAUUUUUAUCGUCCAGGUCAGUCUUACAAAAAACCUAAAUAUAAGGAUUUUCAUGCUAUCGACGGGUUUGUUAAGAAAUCGUUAUUGUUUUCAUUUGGUUUUUCAACCUAUCUAUCUAUAUAUGGUCUAUCAUUCUGAUUCAAAGUCAUAUUAGACACACAGGAUUGAUGCAUAAUAAAAUUAGUGAGCAAACUCACCUGUUCGCAUAACGCGUCGAUCCGAGGAUCGACCGUUACCUGUGAGGUCAGUUUUCCUUUUUCUGUUGAGGUUCCUCUCGUUCCUGCUCACUGUUAGAACCGCUGUUGAAACUCGAAGUAUCCUCGUGUAUGGAGUUCCUCUCAGGCGCCAUUGAGUACGAACCAACAGAAGGAUUGGCUUCCGUUGUCUCCAUGCUCCGUGCGCCAUUUUUCGUGCACGUGGUUUACAUUAAGAAACUCAAUUGAU